ACCACACUGUUGUGUGUAUGGUGAUCUCCAGGUUAUAUAUCUAGUAUAUGUGUGUAGCCUAUAGUGGACGAUAACAGAAAUAAAAUGUGUCUUGUCCAAUAUGUGAUUUUUAUCAGGAAAUGUCUACAUUCUGGAUAAAAGGGGGAAGGAAUAACAAAAGGGAGCUAAUGAUUGUCUGAAUUAGAAGCACGUGACUUAUGUUCACUGGGAGCCGCCAAUGAAACGUGAGGGAGAGCUCGAUUGUCGAACUUGUUGACAGGUCAGCAGAAGGACUAAGAGACACUGGGUGUAUCAUCCACCACAGUCUGUAUCCCCCCCCACUCGUUCCCCCUACCCCGAAACAACAACCAAACUAAACGUCUACCAAAGGAGGGACUAACUUGGAGCCAAAAUGACAGUGUUUCCAGUCGAUGUCCACGGCUGGACAGCGGAAGGAGAGUACUGCUCGAUGGCUUUUCCCCCUUGGCUCGUGUUUCUGUGGAUUAAGUGUUUAGAUCAAGUGUUCGGAUUAAUAACAUGGAUACUCAUCGGAUUGCUACAUUCUUUCGGUAAUUCGAAGCUGACAUGAUUCUCGGAUUAGCAGACGUGAAUGAUACCCGAUGCGGCACGAUUCUCAAAUGUUUUCGCUCUUGUCCUUAUCCUAUUCGCUUCCGUGGGUGGACAUUUCCAGCAGACGUGCCAUACCGAGGGAACGGAGCUUGAAUUCCUCAGACAAAUGGGUACCAGACAUUGGUGAAAGGAUUUUGGUCUUUGACCUAGAAACAUUACCAACUUGUUAAUCAUGGACCAUAGUAACAGAUGAGUUUUACAUCCACUGCCAUUUCCUAGCAAGGUUUGAAAGGAGAAUGUUUUUUUUUACAAUUGCUUGCAAUCUUCGCCAAUUUUUUUUUGCUUGUACAGACCAUGAUCCUCCAUUAGUCCCCCCCCCCCCACUUAUAUAUAUAUCUCCUUUUUCUCUCUGGCUACUACCAUUGAC